CUUACAGCUUUUUGUAUCACAUAGCCAUAAAAAUAUCCAGCUCCUUGACAUACCAGAGGAGGAAAUAUCUUGGCGACUAUCAAAGAAAGAAUAAUGAUCUGCCCAUUUUCAGUUCUCCAUAUCUGUGAUAGGGAAGCAACAAGCUUUUUCAAUGGAUGGAAUGAGACGAUGUAGCUAUUGUGAACCAUGACUACUGCUAUACCAUUUCAGAGGAAGAGAAAACUAGGGCAUGUUCUGUGAAUCCUAACACUGUGUCACAAUGUGGUAAUGAAACAGCACAGUAAGACUCUUCUGCUGUGAAUAAAGAAGGGAAGACUGUUCUCACACUGAGAAUACAAAUAUUGCUACUUCUCACUUGAUAUGUAUAGAAAACGAAGAAUUUUCAGAAUAUUUACAUUGGCAACCUCUACAACAAGAAUUGCAUAUGCAAAUGACUAAUUUUCAACAUGAACUGGAUGACUGUACAAGCGAAUUCCUACUUUCCCAUGGUAAACAUACU